CUCGGAGCAAUUUGAAGUCUGAUCUGAAUAGCUCUUAUGCGGAUCUGAGAUUCGAAAUUUCGAACAUGAUGAUUUGUUCAAAUUGUUAUAAUUUAUCGGGUUUAUUAAUAUCAGAUCUUAGAGAAAAAGAAGGGAAAGAAAAAACCCUAAUUUAAUCUGGUCAAUUGGGUUUUUUUUUUUGUUAAAUUCAUUUCUAAUUUACUGAGGAUUUUUGGAAGUAGAUUUAUCUCCAAAUUUUUUUUUGGAGGUGUUGACGAAGGUGGAUCUAAUUUGUUUGAGAGAAGGAAUAAUAACGUUAAAGAAGAAACCCCGGACCCGAUGGGUAAAGAUGAUGAGAAUUUGAAGGCGGAGGAUGUGGAGGAGGGAGAAAUUUCCUAUACGGCAUCAGUGGAAGAGAUCAGUGAGGAAGAUUUUAAUAAGCACGAGGUUAAGGUUGUAAAAGAAUCGAAACCUAUAGAUGGUAGGUUUUGGACGAUGAGAGAUCUGUACAAGUAUCAUCAGAUGGGAGGAAGAUACGUCUCCGGCUUGUAUAAUCUUGCUUGGGCACAGGCAGUACAGAAUAAGCCUCUAAAUGAGCUAUUUGUUGAGGUUGAACCCGAUGAGAAUUCCAAGCGAUCGUCGCCGUCGUCGUCUGUGGCGUCUGUUAAUAGCAAUAAUAACAGCGGUAAAGAAGACGAGAAGAAUAAAGUGGAUAAAUUUGUGAUUGAUGAUAGCGGUGAUGAAAUGGAUGAUAAGAUUGUGGAUGUUGAGAAGGAGGAAGGUGAAUUGGAGGAGGGUGAGAUUGAUUUGGAUUUUGACCCAGGUGAGAAAGCUGCUGGGGAGGGUAAAGAAGGGCUGUCCAAUAGUGAUGAAAUGAAUGUUGAUGGCUUACAGAUUGAGUCCAAGGAGAAGAAUUUGGAGAAGGAAAUCAACUCCAUUCGUGAGGCUCUGGAGAGUGUAACAGUGAUUGAAGCACACAAAUCAUUUAAGGCAACUUGCUCAAAACUGCGCAACACAUUGGAGAGCUUGCGGGAUGUGGUUCCCGAAUUUAAUAUUCCCACAAAAGAUGAUCUUAUGCAAUUGUCAUUCACUGCUGUUCGAACUGUUAAUUCGGUUUUUUGCUCCAUGAACCAUAAAUUAAGGGAACAAAAUAAGGGCGACUUUUCAAGGUUUCUGUCCCUUGUAAAUAGCUAUGUCCCUCCUCUUUUCUCCCCUGAGCAGGUCAAAGAGAUUGAGGUCUUGGUUUGCUCUCUAGAUACUCCUGGUGUUUUGUUGAGUUCAAUAUCUGGUGAAAAAGAGAAAGAGACACUGAUCUCUAGUGAGGUGAAUAAGAAGGAUGAUGAUGUCUCAGCUAAAAGUUCAGUUCAUAAUUUGAUUACAACAAAUAAGUUUCCUUCAUCUGCGGACUCUUUUGUUAAUAAUAAGCCAAACAUAUCAUUAGAAGCUCCAAAAACAGGAAUUUCUACUUUUAAGAGUAGAACAGUUUUGCUCCCAUUGUUAGACCUCCACAGAGAUCAUGAUGCAGAUAGCCUUCCAUCACCUACACGGGAAGUAGCACCACCAUUACCUGUACAAAGAGUUUUAACACCUAAGGUGGUGCUUGACAUUGAAGAUUCUAGAAUGCGUCCAUAUGAAACUGAUGCACUCAAAGCUGUUUCUAGCUACCAGCAAAAAUUUAGCCAUAGUUCAUUUGCAGUGAACGAUAGGCUUCCAAGCCCAACUCCUUCAGAGGAAUCUGGUGAUGGGGAUACUGAUACAGGUGGAGAAGUUUCUAGUUCAUCGGCUGUUGGUCACUUUAGACCUGUGAAUCCACUUAUUUUAGGGCAUACAAUUGCUUCUGCUGAUCCUCCUUGCACUGAGAGUUCUAGUAUGCAGGGAGUUAUCCCUGCUAAAAGUGCUGCAUCAGUGAGUUCUGGGCCUGCUUUAACUGUGAAAGCCUCUGCAAAGAGCAGGGACCCUAGGCUUCGAUUUGUUAAUUCUGAUGCCAAUGUUUUGGACCAAAACCACUGUGUUGUGCCAAUGGUGAAUAAUGCACUUAAAGUGGAACCUUUUGAAGGAACUAGGAAUUUAAAAAGGCAGAAGUCUGAUGAUGAUGCUAUUCCAGAUGUUCCUUCUUUAAAAAGGCAAAGGAAUGCAUUGGAAAAUCCUGGAGUUGUUAGGGAUGUGAAAACCAUGAUUGGAAGUGGCGGUUGGUUGGAGGAUACUGAUGUGGUUGGACCUCAAACUUUGAAUAGAAAUCAGUUGGUAGAGAAUGCAGACAAGGAUGUAAAUUGAUAUUCGAUACACCCAAGAACAUAGCUGCAACAUGCACAGAAUUGUGUCACUGGCAUACAUUUUUCCAUAGUAGGGUAUUUGGGUGUUUCCUGUGACAUACCACCAUAUUCGGUAGGCACUCUCUGCAGCAAAGCAGGGGAGGACAAAAAUGCAGAGCAGCUUCAUUGAUCUCUGCAAGUGGGGUUACCAAUUGCACAUAAAUCAAGGCUCAUACAAUUAAUAAUCAUCGAUUUCAUGUGCCAAAUUCAAGCCGAAGGUUUCUAUAAGAUAAUGAAUAUGAUUGCAAACAUUAGAAUUGAUCACAAUAUUUCCAGAUCUGGUAGAGAAGCCCUUGAAGUAAGGGUAAAUAAGGUAUAGAGGUUAAGUGACUAUGCAAGCGACUUAACUGAGGUAAGGGUAAUUACUAAUUCUCAAACUAUUACUAUUUUUCUUUCUAUACCUUUAAAUUUACCAGAUUCUUUCAUAGUACAUUACCAUUGCUUACCUUUUUCAUUAAUUCACCCAUUAAUCCUCCUACACUUCUCCCUCUUUGCUUCUUAUCCGUCAACUACUUACCCUAUCCAAACAAAAAAGUAUCAAUUCUUGCAUGAAAAAGUUUGAUUUACAUUGAUUUGUUUCUUUAUGAGAAUCAUGUCGCAUGAGUAGAUUUCAAGCAAAAAAGAAAAGAAGUUGGAAAACGAAGCAUACCUGGAGCUGUUGUUUAUAUUCUCUCCGAAUUCUCUCACUUUGAUCAUCUAAUUUGUCCAAGAAGAGGAAUCUUCUUACACCAUACUUGCGAGACCAAGAAGAUAGACUCAAAAAUGAAAUUAUAGCAAAUACCGAAAGAGAUAACUGCACCACUGCAUCGUAAGGUCAUUGGUGGUUUGAAUCGCAAUUUGAGCACAAAAAAGCGAAGUGAGACACGAUAGGAACGCCAAUUGCCAGGAGCAAGAAGAUGGACCACGAGAGAGCAGUGGUCCAAAUAUUAGAUUGAUCUUGGAAUACCCAUUUGAGGCAUAGUCUAAAGCUUUUCAAUUCAAUCCCUUCAUCGAUGAAAUACCAUAAAUUUGCUUUGUUAUUGGAAGUGAAAGGCUCUCCUUCAUUUUCCAUAGCUUUGGGAACUUUGCCCAACUUAGAAUCUGAGUGCAAGGCCAAGAAGAAUGCCCAUAAACAAAGAAACUUGGGAGCAUGAAUGUGCUGCGAGGGGAACGAUCAUUAAAGAGAAAGGUUUCA
rnacentral:misc_RNA from 1 species